AUUGAACGCUGGCGGCAGGCCUAACACAUGCAAGUCGAACGAGUCGCGCACGUGUGAGUCAUGUCUGGGAAACUGCCUGAUGGCGGGGGAUAACUAAUGGAACAGGUAUAUAAAACGGCAUACCAUCGGCUGUGCCCAGAUGGGAUUAGCUAGUAGGUGGGGUAAAGGCUCACAUAGGCGACGAUGCAUAGCUGAUCGGAUAGGCUGAACAGCCACACUGGAACUGAGACACGGUCCAGACUCCUACGGGAGGCAGCAGUGGGGAAUAGUGCGCAAGGGGCGAAAGCCUUAUGGAGCAAUGCCGCGUGGAUGAAGAAGGCUUUCGGAUUGUAAACUUAUGUCAGCAGGGAGGCGUUACCCGCACAAGAAGCACCGGCUAACUCCGUGCCAGCAGCCGCGGUAAUUC
rnacentral:rRNA from 1 species